rnacentral:lncRNA from 1 species
GGAAACUAAGUCUGGAAAAGAGGUAAGGGGAGCUAACAUUUCUAAGUUUUUAUAUUAUGAUAAAAUAUUUUUUUAUAACUAUUCAUGUCUUGAAAUUCUGUGAAAUUACUGUUAAUGAAAAACCUAUAUGCUUGUUGUAUAACAAUUUGAAUUUCUGCGUUAAUAUUAUAUGUUGUUGUCUUGAAUCUGUGAAUAAGAAAUUUUUUAAUAACAAGUUGAGGAAACUUUGGAUAGGGAAGACCUGGUACUUAAGUUGUCCAUUGUGACACACCUCUCUUUCCUAGAAGUCCAAUGUGUUUUUAACUAAAUUCUUAUUAAACAGAAUAUAUUCUACUAAUUUCAUUUUAAAAUACUCAAUGGAUAUGAAAUCUGUGUUGAAUGUAUUAUAUUAUGUUGGAUGUUAAAUUAUGUAUAUUGAACAUAGUAAGAGUUUGGUGGAGAGUGGGAAAUCCUUACCGAAGAUCCACCUUGGGAAGUUGGACAGAGUAGGAAGGAUGUAGCUUCAGUGGUUGUAUUUAUAUCCGAAGAUCCAGUUUGGGGGACAGAGUAAGAUAAGAUAAUUCAGCUAACAAGUAGAUGCAUCUAUAUCCGAAGAUCCACUUUGGGGGACAGAGUAGAAUAUGAUGUAUCUAUGUAAAGUACCACUGCAAGUGUAGAACCUGCUAAGAGUUUGAUAUUCAUACGAUUAUUUGAAUGGGUUGAGUUUAUGAUGAUUAUGGUAUGUUUAUUGUAUUAUUAAGUGAUUUGACUUAUAAGUUAAAAAAAUUAUGUUCGUAAUUUAAAUAUACCAUGUUAUUUUUGUUGCAUUAGCUCACCCUUACUUUAUUUGUUGUUUGGUUGUUAUUGUUGUGUUGUGUGUUUUCUAUCAACGAUGAUCAUUCGGUGGGUGUGAGCAGAAGGUGAUGAGAUACCGGUGGAACAACCAUUAGAUGGAGGAUCGACUAGUGUUUUGUUUAUAUGGAUGAGAUCCUUGUUUUAAUCGUUUUAAGUUUGGAUUGUAUUAAGUUUAAAAUUUGAGUGAUAGUUUGUAUAAAAUUGAGGAAAACUUUUAUUCCCCGUUUCUAUGAUUGUUUUACCAUAUCAAGGAUGUAAUAACUAUAUUAUAAUUCAAUACUAUAAUUAUUAGGAUGUUACAGCGAUUUUGGCAAUGAGGGAAGCGUUGAGGCACUAGGCAGUGACGACAUCGAUGACCUCUUACCAAUGGGUGGCUUUGAGGUUGGUGCGACUGAGGGAGUACCACUUGUUGUUGUAGGCAUCGAUGAGGGUGAAGGUUUCCUCCGGGGUCCAGCAUGGCGAGGUGAGACGAUGGGAGAAGGUGGAGGGAGGGGCGGUGAGAGUGAGGGGGAGGCCGUCAAGUGCCUCCGUUGACUCCAUUGUGCGUUGUCAUUACCUGUACCAUCACCGUGCGCUGCCGUCUACCGUUGUCACCUGUGUGUGUUGCCCUUGUUGUCCAGCUCUUAGCGAAGUGGCCACUUCAGAAGAAAUGGAAAUACUCAUACAACAAAAAUAACUUUUGGGGCUAGGGGGUAACCCGACCCUAAAUCAUUCACAAUCCCAUUUGAUGGGUUUUGGGGUUAGGGGCUUUAAAAAAGCCCCCUAAAAUGUGGGUCAACAAAAGUGAGCUAAAUAUUAAAGGGGCCAGGGUUAGCCCUGGGGAUUAAAAAAAAAGUGACAACUCUAAUCUCCCGCUUCAUGUAAGGAGAUUUGUUAUUGGAAUAUGUUGUUUUACAAAACUAACUUCAUUUGAAUGUGUCAUUUUUGUUACUUUUUUUGGUGGUGUGAGCUAAGGGAAGUUGUUGGAUUUGUGGUGAAGGUCAUUUAUUUACUUUAUGUUUACUUGGAGAUAACUCAACUAUGGAGAGCUCGGCUAUUGAGAGAGUUUGGGUGUGGAGACAAUUCGAUUUUGGAGACAAUUUAGUUAUGUAGAUAGCUUGAGUGUGGAGAUAGUUUAGUUGUGGAGACAACUAGGUUGUGGAUUAAAAACUUUUAUUCAUAAAAAAAUAAAAUAAUUUUAACUCAUCUAAAUAUCAUUUUAGAUUACUUUAAAUAUCAAAGACAAUUUCAUAAUCUUACUUUUUAAUUUAAAAAUAAUAAUAAUCUCUCACAUCAAUCAAAUCUUACAAAAUUUUAUUUUUAAAUUCAAUCCAUUGUAAACUUCACCUUAAAAAAAAUAUAAACUUCACCUUCAAAUCCGUCCAAAAUCCAUCCAAAAUUCAUCCUGUCCAUUUUCCUUAAAUAAUUUUUUCUAAAAGAACACAACCUUAUAGUUUAUUUAAAUAGAGUUACUUAAGUAUGAAAUAAAUUUUUUUUUAUAGAAACUUGAUACAUUUUAAAUAUUUCUUCAUAAAUACAUACCUACUUUGUUUUACAUUGCAUUCUUACCAUUAAUAUAAAUAAUUUAGAUAAAAUAUAAAAAAUUUAAGGGACUCAAAAAUAUUUUUAAUUAAAAUAUUUAAAUUUUUUGUGUAUAAUUCAAUUAAGUGAUAUAUUUAUUAUUUUUUAUAAAUAAACAACAUUUUACAAUUUCUUUUUAAAAAAUAUUAUAAGUAGUGUUUUAUUUUAUUUUAAAAAGAAAACUAAAAUAAUUUAAUUACCUUUUUUUUUUCACUGCAUAAUAAAUUAUAUAUAUUUGUCUUUUUAUAUGAAAAGAAGGAUUAGUAACACAUUAUAUUAUGUAAAGUUAUUUUUUUAUAUUAUUUUUAUUUUAUAAGAAUAAAAAAAUGUAAUGAUUGUUAAUUUAUAUUACAUAUAAAUUUUAGUGAUAUAAUAAAAAAAAUUAUUUAGUGAUAUAAUUAUAUUACUUUUAUAUUACAAAUAGCUUUCUUUUUGGAUUUUCAUUAAAUGGAAACAUGGAAUAAAAUUGAGUGUUUUACAUAAAUGUUGAGUAAAGUUAAAAUGUGUUUACAUCUUGUGAAUAUAUUUAACUUAUUGUUGGAUAUGAGAUAUGUGAAUGUGUGAAUAAUGUGAUUCUAAUGACUUCUAACGAGGAAAUAUACACUAGGAUGAGGUUAAGGGGUGUAUUGAAAAGUGAUUUUGUUAUAAGACUAUCAUGACUCUACUAGUAUCAAACUUCUAUAGAGAAAGACACAUAGUGAUGAGUUAGUAGAACUUCCUACAAUUAGAACUUUGAUAUCAAAAUUUACCAAACCUCUCAAAAUCAAGGAAUUUAUUCUAGUCAUGUUCAAGGUGGACUUUAGUUCUAUUGUAAAUCUAUAGUUAUAGCUCUUAAGAGACAGGAGUUGUAACACCCAUGAAAAAUGCUUGUUUUAAUAAAGAGUAAUAAAUUUUAACAUUAUUAUUAGUAAUAAUAAUUUUAAUGGAUAGAAAAUAUAUAAUAGAGAAUUAUAAUAAUUUCAGAAGGAGGGGCUCAAAAUUUUGAGAACCUAUUUUAAAAGUUUCUCUUUAAAAAAAAUGAAUAGUGCCCAAAGAUAAGCAUUCCACGUUGGUGCCAAGAGUGAUCACAUAUGUUUAAGUGCAAGUGGGAUUAAAAUAUUAUUUUUUUAAUAAAAUAAUAUUUUUUAAAAAAAAUUGAAUAGUAAAAAUUUUUUGCUAUAAAGAGUCAAGAGGGGAAGAAGGAUUCUAAAUAAAAAAGAGAAGAAAUAAGAGAGAAAGAGAGAAAGGGAGAGAAUAAAAUAAUUAGAAAGAAAUUUUGGUUGCAAAGAGAGUAGAGAUUCUAGAGGAUUUUCAAGGGAACAACUUCUGAGUAGGAAACUAAGUCUGGAAAAGAGGUAAGGGGAACUAACCUUUCUAAGCUUUUAUAUUAUGAUAAAAAAAAUUAUUAUAACUAUUCAUGUCUUGAAAUUUUGUGCAAUUACUGUUAUUGAAAAACCUAUGUGCUUAUUUUAUAACUAUUUGAAUUUCUGCCUGAAUCUGUGAAUAAGAAAUUUGUUAAAAACAAGUUGAUGAACACUUUGGCUGGGAAAGACUUGGUACAUAAGUUGUCCAUUGUGACACACAUCUCUUUCUUGGAAGUCUACUCGAUGUGUUUUUAACUAAAUUCUUAUUAAACAUAAUAUAUUAUGCUAAUUUUAUUUUAAAAUACUCAAUGGAUAUGAAAUCUG